AGCAGCUCGAGUGCGGUGCGGUCAGUAGCCCUUCAAAUUAGAAAAGUGAUGAUGAUCUUGUCAAUGCUGAGAUUUUCAUGCAUCAGCAGCCACUACAUCUGGAUCAGAUUGAACAAGAAACAGACAGCAAGGGUUGUCAGAUCAGAAACAGAAUGACACACAAACACAAGAAACUUCACAGG